CAGGGAGACAACAAAAUGUUAAAUAUUAAUUUUGUCACCUUAGGUCGAUCGGUAUCUCACAUUCUUAAUUUAUUAAGGAUUUUAUUUCCUAAGUUUUUUCUAGGUCACACCCAUUAUUUUUCCUGGGCCAUUAGCUCAGGUGGUUAGAGCGCACCCCUGAUAAGGGUGAGGUCCCUGGUUCAAGUCCAGGAUGGCCCAUAUCUCUAUGUUGGGGGUAUAGCUCAGUUGGUAGAGCGCCUGCUUUGCAAGCAGGAUGUCAGCGGUUCGAGUCCGCUUACCUCCACUGAUUACCACCUCUUCCAUAAUCUGUAGAAAGGAAAAACUUUGAGUUGUGUCCAUAGUUCUGAACGAAUCUAGCUUCCUAAUGAAUCCAUUAAGAUGCUGGACUCAUUGAAUUAAUUUCAUUGAUUUCAGAGAACCUUGACAACUGCAUAGAUUAUUUUUAAAGACAAUAAGCAUCUUUAAUGAUGCAGAUUUAUUAUUUAUGCAAAUGCAUUAAUAACAAUUCUAUUAAGCUGAUGCUUCAAUUUUGAAGUUAUU
rnacentral:tRNA from 1 species